AUUGAACGCUGGCGGCAGGCUUAACACAUGCAAGUCGAGCGGGUGAGGUUGCUUCGGUAACUGAGCUAGCGGCGGACGGGUGAGUAAUGCUUAGGAAUCUGCCUAUUAGUGGGGGACAACAUUCCGAAAGGGAUGCUAAUACCGCAUACGUCCUACGGGAGAAAGCAGGGGAUCAUUUGACCUUGCGCUAAUAGAUGAGCCUAAGUCGGAUUAGCUAGUUGGUGGGGUAAAGGCCUACCAAGGCGACGAUCUGUAGCGGGUCUGAGAGGAUGAUCCGCCACACUGGGACUGAGACACGGCCCAGACUCCUACGGGAGGCAGCAGUGGGGAAUAUUGGACAAUGGGGGGAACCCUGAUCCAGCCAUGCCGCGUGUGUGAAGAAGGCCUUUUGGUUGUAAAGCACUUUAAGCGAGGAGGAGGCUUACCUGGUUAAUACCUGGGAUAAGUGGACGUUACUCGCAGAAUAAGCACCGGCUAACUCUGUGCCAGCCGCCGCCGUAAUAC
rnacentral:rRNA from 1 species